AAUGAAUGAAUUACUGCAACCCAGAACAGAAUGACAAUUUCACAAAAACAAUGUUGCAGGCAAAGAAUAUACAGGCAUACCUUGGAGAUAAUGUGGGGACUGUUCCAGACCACUGCAAUAAAAAUGUGGCAGAAGUGAUGUUCUGUGACUUCCAAAGCCAGAUCUUAAGAGACAUUGCAG